rnacentral:tRNA from 1 species
GUCCAGGGUAGCCUAGAGUCAUGGCAUCUGCCCGGUAAGCGGAAGGUCGUGGGUUCGAUUCCCAUCCCUUGACA